rnacentral:tRNA from 2 species
CAGAGGGUAGUUUAAUUUAGAAUUCUAGCUUUGGGAGCUAGUGGUGGGAGUUAAAAUCUCUUCCCUCUG